GGGGUUGUAGCUCAGUGGUAGAGUGCUCACCUAGCAUGUGCAAGGCCCUGAGUUCGAUCCUCAGCACCACA
rnacentral:tRNA from 1 species